rnacentral:rRNA from 1 species
UACGUAGGUGGCAAGCGUUGUUCGGAAUUAUUGGGCGUAAAGGGCGCGUAGGCGGUCUUGUAAGUCAGCUGUGAAAGCCCGGGGCUCAACCCCGGAGGGUCGGCUGAUACUGCAGGACUGGAGUACGGAAGAGGUAGCUGGAAUUCCCGGUGUAGCGGUGAAAUGCGCAGAUAUCAGGAGGAACACCAGUGGCGAGGGCGGUGCUCUGGGCCGGAACUGACGCUGAGGAGCGAAAGCGUGGGGAGCAAACAGG